rnacentral:rRNA from 1 species
GUAAGGAGUUUUCGGCAAUGGGGGGAACCCUGACCGAGCAACGCCGCGUGAGUGAUGACGGCCCUAUGGGUUGUAAAGCUCUGUUAUAAGGGACGAACAGCUUUGCUAGGAAAUGAGCAGAGUCUGACGGUACUUUAUCAGAAAGCCACGGCUAACUACGUGCCAGCAGCCGCGGUAAUACGUAGGUGGCAAGCGUUAUCCGGAAUUAUUGGGCGUAAAGAGUGAGCAGGCGGCAGAUUAAGUUUGAGGUUAAAGCGUGGGGCUCAACCCCAUAAAGCCUUGAAAACUGAUCAGCUAGAGUACGAGAGAUGUGAAGGGAACUCCAUGUGUAGCGGUGAAAUGCGUAGAUAUAUGGAAGAACACCAGUGGCGAAGGCGCUUCACAAGCUCGAAACUGACGCUCAGUCACGAAAGCGUGGGUAGCAAAUAGGAUUAGAAACCCCUGUAGUCC